UUCCAUGACGUCAACGCGCUCGAGUGGAGUCGAGUGGAGUGGAGUGGGUGGUCGAAGCAAUCAACGCCACCAACCCCCUUUGGUGCUGGGCGAUGGGUCCCACAGGCCCGGGAGCACACAACCAAACAAAAGGGCGAGGAAGGAAUCAGAACCCUCUGGUUGUGUCGUACUCACAUGCAGCCUCACACGCUCGACGACGGUUCUCCGUCUCACCAGCCACGCGACCAGAGGACAGCACACGGAACGCCUCGAUAGGACGUCGAAACCGGGCCCCCCCACCAACUGCCUGCGAUCGCAUGGGCCGCGACGUGGCUCCCCCUGAACGAUGUGUGGUCGCUUUCCAGCCAAUCAGGUGGUGGGUCCUCAGCGGGCACCGCAGAUAGGGAACCACCUGAGCCCCAGGGACAGCGGACAAGGGUGGUGGACCACUUUCCCACUGACAUGGACCAGGGUCCAGGAUUCUCGAUCAAUCGGCGAAAAUCCUGAAUCCCGCCAGCCAUGGCUCAAUCAGGCGAGCCCAUAUACGACCGGGAAGAAAUAAUGUCCCAUAUCGGUCAUGCCAUGCCAUCGAAAUGGCUUCUAAAGCAUACAUGCUUAAUUAUGGAGCUGAAUUCCUAUGGGCCACUUGCACAUGGUUUUGCAAUUCUUCCGGUGAGUGGAAUGGAGAAAGAAAUAGAAACUAGAAGAACAGCAGAAAAGAAGGCGACAAAACUGCACUAUAAGAUCAAGUGGACACAAGAAAGUGGAGUCGAUCGCCUAAGAUGCAUGCACCUAUUAAAGCAGUUUACAGCUUUCCUGAACUCAAACCAGAGGUUAUGGAGGGGACUUUAAUGCUUGCAGCACAACAUCAGAGGCAUACCUCGAACACUGCAAAUACAGACUUUGAUAGGCGCAUGGAAGUUUUCAGACCAUCUCCAAGUCACAUUGCUGUGGCAUGUCUUGGCUCGGUCCCUGAUGGUUGUUGAUAUUGUUCAUGAUCACACUAAAAUAUCAGAAAGAAUUAGUAACAUUAGAGGCAUACCUUGAUCACAGCAAAUGCAGAUUUUGAUAGGCAUAUACACAAGUUCAGAGACCCUCUCAAAGCCA